CGCUGAUUCAACACACCUCUGCAAUAACACAACCAAAAAAGGAGGGGGGUAAAUUACUAGAAGACAAGAAUGUCGAGUCACCCACAUUUCCGUGAUGACAUAAUCAAAAAGAAACAAGCCAAGAAAAACCGGAGAAAGGAUCAAUAGCCAAAAGAAAAAGAAAAUUGCGACUGUCUCGGCUCUUUUCUUCUGUGUGUUUCUAACCAGGUUAAUUGACAUCUCGCCGGCGUGGAAAUUGCCAUCCUCAUCGGAGGAGGCUCAGAGAUGACAGCACAGCUCUCCUAAUACCAACAUGGAACAUCACAAGACAGACGAGCUGACGAAUGGAUGAAACUUAAAAAGGCCAACAGCAGCCGGGGCCCAGCAAGUCACGCAAAGUGUGUUGAUGGUUCGGUUUUCGGUGUCCCAGGUUUCAUUCUAAUUACUGGUGUUGGCGGGGGCACACUGGAUGGAUUGUCGUUUUUUACCUGCGGACAGCGCCCAUUCCGGCCGCCGAGCUGGCGCUUCGCAACACCUUGGCCUUGGGCAUGUAGCGUGAUGAAUAGCCGCCUCCGCGCGAUGGCUGAGA